rnacentral:tRNA from 1 species
UCCCAGCUGGCUGAGUGGUAAAGGAUCUGCCUGCCAACGCAGGAGACACAGGUGCCACCCCUGAGUUGGGAA